rnacentral:rRNA from 1 species
GAUGAACGCUGGCGGCGUGCCUAAUACAUGCAAGUCGAGCGAAUGGAUUAAGAGCUUGCUCUUAUGAAGUUAGCGGCGGACGGGUGAGUGACACGUGGGUAACCUGCCCAUAAGACUGGGAUAACUCCGGGAAACCGGGGCUAAUACCGGAUAACAUUUUGAACCGCAUGGUUCGAAAUUGAAAGGCGGCUUCGGCUGUCACUUAUGGAUGGACCCGCGUCGCAUUAGCUAGUUGGUGAGGUAAGGGCUCACCAAGGCAACGAUGCGUAGCCGACCUGAGAGGGUGAUCGGCCACACUGGGACUGAGACACGGGCCAGACUACUACGGGAGGCAGCAGUAGGGAAUCUUCCGCAAUGGACGAAAGUCUGACGGAGCAACGCCGCGUGAGUGAUGAAGGCUUUCGGGUCGUAAAACUCUGUUGUUAGGGAAGAACAAGUGCUAGUCGAAUAAGCUGGCACCUUGACGGUACCUAACCAGAAAGCCACGGCUAACUACGUGCCAGCCGCCGCGGUAA